rnacentral:misc_RNA from 1 species
UCCGGUUUGUCACCGGCAGUCUCCCUAGAGUGCCCAACUGAAGGCUGGCAACUAGGGACAAGGGUUGCGCUCGUUGCGGGACUUAACCCAACAUCUCACGACACGAGCUGACGACAGCCAUGCAGCACCUGUCUCACGGUUCCCGAAGGCACUCCCGCAUCUCUGCAGGAUUCCGUGGAUGUCAAGACCAGGUAAGGUUUUUCGCGUUGCGUCGAAUUAAACCACAUACUCCACCGCUUGUGCGGGCCCCCGUCAAUUCAUUUGAGUUUUAACCUUGCGGCCGUACUCCCCAGGCGGUCUGCUUAUCGCGUUAGCUCCGCCACUGAGGCGUCAAGCGCCCCAACGGCUAGCAGACAUCGUUUACGGCGUGGACUAC